GCUCCGGUGACCUAGUGGCUAGAGCGUCCGCCUCGGAUGUGGGAGGUCCUGGGUUCAAACCCAACCGAGUCA